UUUAGUUCUUCUUUAGAUCUUCUAUUUCUUUGCUAAAGCUUUCUGGUUUUUUCAGUUACUUCAAGCAUAUGCAUAAUUUUUGUUAGGGCAUUUUUAUUAUGGCUGCUUUAAAAUAGUUUUCAGGUUAUCCUGACAUCUCUGUCCUUUAGACGGUAGCAGCUACGGAUGGUCUUUUUUCAUUCAGUUUGAGAUCUUCUCUGUUCUUGGUAUGAAGAGUGAUUUUGAAUGACAUGAACAUUUAAAAAUUAUUUUAUGGGACUCUGGAUCUUAUUUAUUUAUGUAUUGCUUGACGUGGGAUCCCAAGUCCCAGACCGGGGGAUCCAGUUGGGAUGCAGCAGUGAAUGCGCUGAAUCCUAGCCACUAGACCACCAGGGAACUCCCUAUGGAUGUUAUUUAAGCCUUCUGUGUCAGCUGGCUUUUCCUGCCACUGCUCUGGCAGGAAAAGGGGAGGUGCUUCCCCUUUCCUGGCAGGUGGAGGUAGAAGUUCAAGUUUCCUCUUCAGCCUCUGUUGACGACUGAGGGCUGAGGGUGGGAGUUCCACUGCCUCACGUGGUCUCCACUGCCACCUCAGCGAUGAUGGCCUGACUGCUGCAGAAGUGAGUGGAAUUCUGACUCUCAAGGACACCACCCCAGCAGGGAGGGGGAGGGAGGCCGAAUUCCUGCCAAUCUGGCUGGAAGUCAGGUUUCCACGUGGUAUCCUGGAGUGGACCCUGCGUGUGGGAGGCCUCAUUACCAGCUGGCUGGGGUGAAAGUCCCCACUCCCUACCUGGCCCUCUCCGCAACCACCCUGGCAGGGAUGUUGAGUGCCUGUGAUUGGCCUGGGGAGAGUGGAAAGCUAGGCUCACCACUUAGCCUUCGCUGGUGUGGGUGUGGGUGGGGCCACAGCUUUUGUGUAAUAUUUGGCUGGAAUCGAGUGGUUCUUUCUGAAGUUUUCUGCCUUGUCAGGCUGCCCCUUUCCUGGGGAGAAAGGCAGGCCUUCGUUGGGGCUGGGUCUGCAGUGUCUCCAGGUUGCGGCCUUCCUUACCUCCAAGCCUGGGACACUCAGGGCAAAAAGAAAAGCCAGGGAAGCCCAUUGCUGUGCUGUUUGUUCCUUGGGUCCUGAGGUCCCUGGCCAUUCUGCCUUCUCUUCACCUUCCUCUUCUUAACAUUUCUUUGUCUGUGGUUUCCAGGGCUUUAGUUGCUGUAUUUAGCAGGAGGAAUAGGAAAAAGCACAUCGACUCUGUUUUCCCAGGAGCAGAGAUCUCUCAGGGCCACACCUGCAGCACAUGGGAGUUCCCAGGCUGGGGAACUAAUCGGAGCUACAGCUGUGGCCUCUACCCCAACCACAGCAACUCAGGAUCUAAGCCGAGAUUGCCACCUACACCACAGCUCACGGCAACACCGGAUCCUUAACCCACUGAGCAAGGCCAGGGAUUGAACCCGCAUCCUCAUGGAUCCUAGUCGGGUUCAUUAACCACUGCACCACAACGGGAGCUCUCUGUUCCUGAUGGAUGUUCUACAUGGGGAAUCUUAUCAUCACAGCCAGAAAAGGAGGAUUUACGGGAAAGCUACCGAGGUACGUCAUUCAGUCAAAGGAAUGGUUGGGCAGCCGGCCUGCAGGAGGAGACAGGCACAGCUGGGCCUCAGGAAUUUCUGGAACUGGCGCCGGGGUGCUGGAGGCCCUUGCUUGUCUCGACUCGUCCUCCUCGUGUGCAUCAGUCGCAUUCUCUCUCUCUCUCCACGUGAAAUUCGAGGAAUGAAUGCGGCCACCUCAUGCAUCAAAAUUUCACAUCUCGUGGCUCCUCCAGCAGAAGGAGCCAGACUUCCUGAGCUCCUGUUUGACCAAACGUUCGGGAAGAUCUUCCUUUGGCCCGGCUUGGGCCAGGUGUGCUCCUGGACCCACUGACUCCGGUCGGGUCAGGGAGUGUCUCUAAGGACCUGGCAGCUUCUGGGGGGUCACAAGGAUGCAGAGGAAUGCCUCUCGGCAAAAUGGAGGGUGCUGGAAAGAUAACACGUUGGUUUAUUCUUAUUCACUUGUCCUGUAAA
rnacentral:lncRNA from 1 species